rnacentral:rRNA from 1 species
CGGAGAUCGUCCCGUGCCGUCCGCCCGAGGCAGUGCCGUACUCCUCGUGAGCACGGACCAGCGGCGGUUGGACCGGAGCCACAAGGCGACAGCGGAAGGUGAGUCGACGCGGGCCUGUCCUGNNNNNNNAGCUUACAGCCCUGCCGUACGGCGCUCCGGCCCGACCGAGGAAGAUGGGCAGCCCUUGCCCGNNNNGGUACACGCCGAAUGGCGGGGCCUCCCGACACGAGUGAACCGUGCGACGUGGACUGCAUGCAGUGCAAGCCGUGGCGGCGAUCUCGUGGCGGUGAGUGCCACUUGUGUGCCAGUGCCGCU